GUGUAGAUGUUUUCAGACUUAAUAACAAUUUACAAAAUUUUAGAUGUACCCUUUCAAUCAUGUCGUUAUUGCCAAUACCCCAUACUUCACAACCGUACAGUAGUAUUGGCUUUACCAUUUUAUCAAAUAAAUCCAGCUGGCUAUAUAUAGAAAGAUUAUGUAGACGACCUAGUCUUAACACUUCGUAAAGACCCUUGGUAGCUUUUUCUACAUUAAACUGUUUUGUUUUAUCAAAAUUGCCUGUUCUUGUUAGAACUAUUCCUAAGUAGUUAAAUUCAUCAACAAUAUCCAGUUUUUUGCCAUUAAAUAAAAAUUGAAAAUUACAUGAUGGUCGUCUCCUUGAAAAAACCACG
rnacentral:lncRNA from 1 species